UCGUCUUCAACUAAAGAAACAAAACACAGACAGGAAGAUAGUUAUUCUGACUCUCUACACUAGUAAAAAAAAAUUAUAAACUCAAAGUGGAAGUGAACCGAUACAAGGACUUCCAACAG